rnacentral:misc_RNA from 1 species
UUUCCGUAGGUGAACCUGCGGAAGGAUCAUUAACGAAUUUUGAAGUGGGCUUGAUGCUGGCGUCGUAACUGUUGCAUGUGCUCAGCCCCGCUUUUAAAAUCCACUCAACACCUGUGCACUUUCAAAGUUGUAGUCCUCCGUAAUGGGAGUCGCGGAUUUGUUAACUCGAGUCUGCUGGGAUUACGCUUUGCCCCUUCAUUACAAACUAUAUACAUUGUUUUGUAGAAUGUGUUAGCCUCUAGUAGGCGAAACUUAAUACAACUUUCAACAACGGAUCUCUUGGCUCUC